UACGAAGGGUGCAAGCGUUACUCGGAAUUACUGGGCGUAAAGCGUGCGUAGGUGGUUUUUUAAGUCCGUUGUGAAAGCCCUGGGCUCAACCUGGGAAUGGCAGUGGAUACUGGAAAGCUAGAGUGCGGUAGAGGGUAGUGGAAUUCCUGGUGUAGCGGUGGAAUGCGCAGAUAUCAGGAGGAACACCGGUGGCGAAGGCGGGAUCCUGGGCCAGUACUGACGCUGAGGAGCGAAAGCGUGGGGAGCAAACAGG
rnacentral:rRNA from 1 species